UACGUAGGGGGCGAGCGUUGUCCGGAAUUACUGGGCGUAAAGGGUGCGUAGGCGGCGAUGCAAGUCCAUUGUGAAAAGCCCGGGCUUAACCUGGGAGGUGCAGUGGAAACUGCAUGGCUUGAGUGCAGGAGAGGAAAGUGGAAUUCCUAGUGUAGCGGUGAAAUGCGUAGAUAUUAGGAGGAACACCAGUGGCGAAGGCGGCUUUCUGGACUGUAACUGACGCUGAGGCACGAAAGCGUGGGGAGCAAACAGG
rnacentral:rRNA from 2 species